rnacentral:lncRNA from 1 species
GGAAGUUUAGAAUUAAACGUUUUAUUGUAGAAAUGUUGGAGGACCUCCUUUGCAAUUUUGAGUUAGUGGCUACUUAUUUUAUUACAAUAAACCCAUUUCAAUUAUAAUUCAACACACACACACACAUAGUAGGCAAAAACGGGAGAUGGCAGGGAAAGAAACCGAGAAAAAAGAAGAAGAAAAGAAGGAAAGGAAGGAAGAAAGAAGGGAGAAGAGAAGAAGGGAAAGAGGUAGUUCAAGGUUUAUCUUCAUUUUUCCUUCUCUUUAUUUUCUCCAAGAGGUAGAUAAAUUUUAUGUUAAGUUGUUAGGGUUUAAUUUGUGGCUAAAAUUUCAUAUUUAUGCAAGAUGAGUACAAAUUAGAGUUCAAGUCUGUUGAUUAUUUAAUUUCCAAUUUCAUUAAGGUAAUAUUACCAAUUUUUGGCAAACCCUAGAUUUUUAUUUGGGAUUCCUAUUUAUGAAAUGUUAGUGGGAAUGAUUAUAUUGAUGGAAAACUCAUGAAACCGUGAAUUUGAGAAACAAGAUGAAAAUUAAAAUAGGUGGAAGUAUUGUUACUAGUUUUCAAUAGAUUGGAAGGUAUAAUUUUUUUUUAUGAGUGGGAUGAAGGUAAAUUUGGAUGUAGUAUAUAUCUAUGAAGGUGUUAGAAAGUAGAAUUAGCUCUUAUUGAUUAGAGGAAAAUUUUGGAAAAUUAUUCAAAGCAUAGAGAAGUCAAGUUUUAGUAUUCCACUAUUAAUAUUAAGAAAUACUUAGUACGAGAUUUGUUAAAUUAGUUAUUUUACAUCGUAUUUCAGGUGGUGACGUGAAAGCUGGGCAAGACUGGUAAAUUUAACUAGAUUGCAAUCCAUAGAUUUGUGAGUGGAGAAUUUAUAUUUCCAAAAAGAAUAUUUUCUUUUUAUUUUAUAAAAGCAUGUUAAUUACAUGAAAUGCUUUAUUUUUGAGAAUUAGUAAAUGAGCAUGAUUGUUUUGAAAUUAUCAUAAAAUAAUUGAUGUGAUUAUCUUACUUUUGUGCACUGAGGGGCUACGGCCGUGUACUAGAAUCAUGUAGUUAACUCUUAUCCACUGAGGGG